UAAAAAAACAUUUUCAUUUGUGUCAAAUAUACACCCCUUAAAAUAUUCUCAGUGUCGAAAGAUAAUGUGUGUAUUCUUUGUGAUUUUAAUUAACCAGACGUUACUAAGAUAUUUUCAUUCUUUUUAAUUGUAAUUCAGUUUGAUAAUUUUUAUUCUCUAGUCCGUGACAAAAUACUAUUCGAUAUCAACGUUUUUAUUGAUGAAACUCCUUAAAGACAUUAUUGGAGGUUUACAAGGACCCCAGUUACUACAAUUUUCAUAUCAUUAUUACUAUUAUCUUAAAAGACAAGAAAAUCAAUAAGAUGUAAUAUGUUCAAUCAUAAAUCAUUAGGUCCCCUAGUCUAAGUGAUCCGAAAAAUAUUCAUUGAGUUGGCUUCAAGCAAUUCUUUCUUUACAUAUUUAGUGAUCACAAUAUGUUCUUUCAUAGUUACUUGGUCUCAGUUAAAUGGAUUUUGGACAAUCCUCACGUUAUUAGCUAGCUUUAAUUUGUGGUUGAGUUAUAGACUCAAAUGUCCAUUUCUUAUAUGUUUAAAAGACUUUGAUUUAUGCACACUAUUGUUUGGUUACUUGACGAAAUCACUCAAUUUCCUGUGGAUAGCAGCCUACCAGGAAUUAUACACCACACAAACCAUUACGUUCCAAGACAAAGUUGAAGAUUCAAACCUAGUUGUUGUAUAGCAUUUAGAGGGACCAUCCCACAUAAAGCAGACCACUGGAUAACAGAUGUGGACCUUUCAUGGUACGAACUUGAAUGUGUAGGUAAAUAAACUACAUGCUGGAUUCAUGAUAGCACUGGGCUUGCAAAAGAAUACAGGUUGGCCCAAAGAAAGGCCGAAAACUAUUUGCAUAUUAUGAAAUCAGAAAAGAAACAAAAUUUAUACUGACUGAACAUAGUUGGCAAUUUUAUUGACUUUGCAUGAAGAGGAAUGGCUGUUGGAUAAAUUGGAAGGAAUUUACACAUUUGGACAACCUAGGGUUGGUGAUACAUAAAUUGGGAAGUUCAUGAAGGACAAGCUUAAUAAGUAUGAUGUCAAGUAUUAUAGACAUGUUUGUUCCAAUGACAUGGUUCCUGGGUUGCCAUAUGAUGACAGAACCUUCUUCAAGCAUUUUGGUAUCAUGUCUCUACUAUAACAGCCUCUACAAUGGCAAGGUGGUCAAGGAAGAACCAAACAAGAAUUGCUAUGGUUUUUGCCCACGUUGUGUUGACUGUGGUAAAUGAAUUUACUAGGGGGUUCAUCCUCCCUUGGACAAAGGGCAGUCAUUACAGAGAGGACUGGUUCCAGAAAAUGUUUAGGAUGGUAGGAUUGGUGAUUCCAGGAUUAUCAGUUCAUACUACUAUAGAUUAUGUUAAUCUAACUCAAUUGGGAUCAGUUCUUCAACUUCCACAAUCAGUUCAUCAAGAGUGUCUUGAAGAUGAUUGAUUUUCAAGAUUCAGAGUCGUUGGAAACAACCUUUCUACUUCAUCUGAAGUGGACUGCGUACACUUUACCUCCCAGACUCCACUUGGUGGGAAUACACCGGGUAUGUUGUUGUAGAGACACUUAAAGUGAGAGAGGAUAAUUCCGAUCAAGUUAACGGCUUAAAUAUUUUAUUUUGUUAUUGAUUUGUGUUAUUUUGUAUAGUAUCGACUUAAGAUGAGUUUAUAUAAUGUAAUAUGACCAAUAAGGAUGCAUAUAACCAACCUCAUUGUAAUUAUAGAAUCAGGUCAAACGACACAUAACUUACCUCGCGGAUCAAAUCUGUGGAUGAUGCUCUUUUAGGGGUUUCAGAUUUUUAUUCCAAUGCUCUUUUAGCCUUAAUUCCCACUGCCCGCUUAACAACAUGCAAGCAGUUCAAUUUUUGUGUCACGUACUAAAUGUGAAACUUCUUUUGAGCCGAGGCUCUGUUAGAAGCAACCUUCUAUCCCACAAGAAUAGGAGUAAGGUUUGUGUGCAUCCUACCUCCCCACUUAUGCGAUUACACUGGGUAUGCUGUUGUAGCAGCAACUGCCUAGGCCACUCAAGCUUUAAUGGUUAAUGACCUUAUUCCAGUUUAUCAGGAGAAGUUUGGUUUCCCACUCUAUAGACAGUAUAGUUUCUUUGAGUUGUAUCAUGUUCUUUGCUGAUGGAAGCAGGGAUAAGGAACCCAUGAACUUGUUAUUCGAAUUAUAAAGUAGCGAAUUUGCCAUUUGGGUGUGGAAUGAAGCAAGAACAAAUUUAAAAGAGCUCAUGGAUUAUUGGUAAAUUCAUUACAUACAGAUCGAAUCAUAGGAGAUGUUUUUAGAAUCUUAUAGAGCAACGAGAUUUUGAAGAUAUAGGUGCUUGAAGUAGGACAAAAAAUAACCCUUGUAAUUGGAGCAUCAAGAUGGAACUUGAGUUGCACUUCAACAUCCAUGGACAAUGGAAACUUUUCAUUCUGUUCAUGCUUCUGACGUAAACUAUUCAGUAGGCAGAUACCAUCAUACAGGGGGGGAAUUCGAUUACCCUACAGCACUGCUUUCCGGAAAGCAGCCUUGAAAGUACCAUUUUCAAAUCAAUGCCACUUAUUAUCAGAAUUAAAUGAUCUGAU